CGGAGCAGCCGCAGCCCGCAGAGGACCCCGAGGGCCGCGCUAGCCGGCGGGCAGCCCCGCAGCCGGACCGACCGAGCCGCGCCGCGUCCACCUGUCGGCCGGCCCCGCCGAGAGCGCCGCGGGCACGCCGCGCGCGCCGAGCCGCCGUGCCCGCCGCCCGGGCCCCGCGCCAGGGCGCACACGCUCCCGGCCCGGGCGGGAGUUUGCACCUCUCCCUGCCCCGGGUGCUCGGGCGACCGCCGCAGACAACUUUGGAAAAAGUUUUUUGGGGGGAGAGGCUCGAGCGUGGAGGUGGCCGGCCCCGCGCUUUCUAAUCCGGGGAGCGGAGGGCGGGGGGCGGGCGCCUUCCUAGAAAAAUGUUGCCGAAACACUAAGCCGGCGGGCACAGCCAGACGCCCGUAGCCGGCGGGUGAAGACGACCAGGUCGCCCCGCCGCGUGCCGUCGUCGCCUCUCCGAGGUGGGAGCCCCCCGCGCGCCCCCGCACGGCUGGACGCCUCGGCUGGUUCGCGACGCAGCCCCCCUUGGCCGUGGAUGCUCGCGCGGGCUCGGGAUCCGCCCAGGUAGCGGCCUCGGACCCCGGUCCCGUGCCCAGGAUCUCCCCAGCCCCCCCAGCGACGGAGCCCGGGGGC
rnacentral:other from 1 species